UGACUUUGAAUGGGAAUUAAAAUAUAAGAAUAAAGUUGAAUGGGCUAGCAUAUGAAUCUAUUCGGCGAUUUGAGUUGUUGGAGGCUUGUAGCCAACUUACGAGUCAUAAAUGGAUAUUGAUCAAUAUUUUAAAUUAUAUUUUGAUGUAAUUAGGAUAUCUAAUUGUAGAUAUUGACUUGUUGGUGAUGUUUGAGCAUUUUAACUAACAUGGGAACAAUGGAAGAGGAUUGAAAGCCCGUGAAUCUACAAAAAUAUUAUACUGCAUAUGUAGUGUCAUGUAGUUUUAUAAAAUUUUAUUUUGAAUCUUGUUG
rnacentral:lncRNA from 1 species